CAGCGUCGCGUAUGUGUGUGUGCGCUUGAUUGGAAAAAAUACAAAAAAUGAAGACGAACGUACCUUGAUCGGAAACGAAGAACGGAAUCACAGCGGGGAAGAGACAAAUCGAAGAAGAACUUGAGCGAGAGCAGAUUUUCAGUAGAUUUGAGUGAAGAAUUUAAGUAGUGGGGUGAAGAAUUGAAAGAGCCGAGACCGAGAGAGUGUUGAAACGGUGGAGAGAAAUUAGGGCAAAAAAAUGAGAGGAAAUGAAAAAUAAUUAGAAAAAAGCUUUUAUAUUUUGUACUACGGGUCGGGCCGGGUGUGAAUUCGGGUCGGGCAAACCCGCCUCAUGCGGUGAGGUUGACCUCACGCAAGAAUUUGCGUAACUUAUUUUAUUUUAUUUUUUCGAGAAUUUUUUGGGUAUAACUUCAUUUUUGUUGUUUCUAGUUGCCAACGCAUGGACACUACUAAAUAAAGAUUUAUGAUAAUUAGCCGCAUUAGACUUGCCAACGGGUGGAAAUGAUUUUUUUUAAUAGAACAACGGCUAGAAAUAGUUACAUUACUCAAUUGCAAAUUGAUCAAAGCAAACUUUUUUCACCGCAACAAUUUGUUAAUUGAGGAACAUGAAGCCUGGC
rnacentral:lncRNA from 1 species